rnacentral:rRNA from 1 species
GAUGAACGCUGGCGGCGUGCCUAACACAUGCAAGUCGAGCGAACAGACGAGGAGCUUGCUCCUCUGACGUUAGCGGCGCACGGGAGAGACACACGUGGAUAAUCCACCUAUAAGACUGGGAUAACUACGGGAAACCGGAGCUAAUACCGGAUAAUAUAUUGAACCGCAUGGCUCAAUGGUGAAAGACGGUUUUGGUGUCACUUAUAGAUGGAUCCGCGCCGCAUGAGCUAGUUGGUGAGGUAACGGCUUACCAAGGGUACGAUGCGUAUCCGACCUGAGAGGGUGAUCGGCCGCACGGGAACUGGACCGCGGUCCAGGCGCCUACGGUAGGCCGCAGUCGCCUAUCUUCCGCAGCAGUCGAGAGCCUGACAGAGCAAGGGCACGUGUGAUAUGAAGGUGUUCGGAUCGUAAAAACGUCUUUUUAGGUAAGAACCACUGUGUAAGUAACUAUGCACAUCUUGACGGUACCUGAUCAGAAAGCCCCGGCUAACUACGUG